GAAGGACUGUAGCUCAGCGACAGAGCAUCUGCCUCCCAUGCAGAAGGUCCCAGGUUCAAUCCCUGGCAUCUUCA